rnacentral:lncRNA from 1 species
GGAAGCUCCGAAUCCCUCAGAUCGGCGACCUGAGUGCUGUCGCCCCGAGAAAAUGGAGGCAUCGAGCAACGAGCUGUGCUGAGACCGAGAGACCUCAGUUCUGCGAAAUGUCGGUGCCUGGAGCUUGCGAAUGACUGCGGCCGGCGGGUUGUCAAGGACAACAUUCCUUAUGGCGCAACCAACAGCGCUGUCACCAAGAAACUGGACUCUGAGAAAAAAGAGGGUUUCGGCCACCGAGAAACUCCGUGCCACAUGUGCCGUGACAGCAAAACCGCCCGCUCCGCGCCGCUGGUGAAAGAGCUAACGAACGCCAGGUGCUGCGACAGUGACACCGGGACUAGAAGGCCUCGGAUGGAGAAUGGGACGCCCAGAGCAAGCAGGAAAACGUUUUGUUUGGCUCAACUAGCGCUGUCGCAACCGGAAAACUGUCAGGCCAGUGCUGCUGCGGAUGUGAGAAACCGGUGAUCCGAAGGCGGAGUGGCGCUGGGCGCUGGACUCGCUGGUGUGAAAAUCUGGCUGCUCUAGGACCCGGCAAGCGCGGGCACCAGGCGAACGCCAGCGACUUUGCCAGACAAAUGCAUGUCUUUUUUGGUCGCCAUUCAAAGAUGCAGCCGGCAGUCAGCCCCGGCUCUGAGAAACAAGUGGAGGUGUCAGCCAUAAACCCUCCGUUCAGGGAAAAGAGAGUCGCUGCGACGGAUCGACUGGCCGUUGGGUGGAACUUUCUUUGGUGGCCUAGUGACUAGAAAAUAAAAACGAAAACGAAAUAAAAAACUGCUACUGACAUUACUCCCACGCUCCCUCCUCAAGUCAGUGGCUUCAGGCUUAAGAAAACCUGUAUUUUUCUUGGCUGAUCCGUGAUCCCUAAUUACUGAGGGCCCCGCGACCCACCAAGUGCGAUUCGCAGAGGGAAAGGAGCUGGAAUAAGGAUCCAGAAUGGGACGGAUUUGGCUCCUCCAGGAAGAAAGCAAAACAAAUGCAGGUCGCGAACACUUUACAUUGCAGGAAGCUGCUCUUCCAGUGGCCGCGGCUGGGUCCUUCCACACCACCUCUCUGUCCUAGGCCUUCGUCCCGGUUCAGCCCUCACGGAUUCUAGGCUAGCGGUCAACAACCGCAUCCCUCCGGAACCUGGAAACUCUAGGUCCGAGAUCUCGGUGAAGAAUGAAAGGCACAGCGCCGCUCAACCCAGGCUUCAGGCCUGCCCCGCUGGUCCCGUCCCUUCCCUGUGGGAUGGAACUCUGUGGGAAUCGCUCCUUAUUCUGAUGGUUCACUCAUUCAGAUGUCCUUGAUAUUUGGGGAUAUUUCUAAAACAGCUGGGGAGAAAAAUGGACUGCGAGGCUCCGGUGUUGGACGUGAAAUUGGCAGUGAGACAUCCGCCUCUAAGCCCAGGGAAAAGCUUAAAUUGUGGUUCUCUGUCUCUAGCACCGUGAUCUUUGAAAUGCGUUAUUGAUUUUCUUCUUUCUUCUGGGAAAUGCAAUGCAGGUGAACUUGUCCUGCAUGCCAGUAAAACUACUCAUGUCAGCUGUUCUGCAGGAUCCCAUGAGAAGACGGAGUCUUGCUCUGUCGCCCAAGCUGGAGUGCAGUGGCGCGAUCUCGGC